rnacentral:rRNA from 1 species
GUGGGGAAUCUUGCGCAAUGGGCGAAAGCCUGACGCAGCCAUGCCGCGUGAAUGAUGAAGGUCUUAGGAUUGUAAAAUUCUUUCACCGGGGACGAUAAUGACGGUACCCGGAGAAGAAGCCCCGGCUAACUUCGUGCCAGCAGCCGCGGUAAUACGAAGGGGGCUAGAGUUGCUCGGAAUUACUGGGCGUAAAGGGCGCGUAGGCGGACAGCUUAGUCAGAGGUGAAAGCCCAGGGCUCAACCUUGGAAUUGCCUUUGAUACUGGCUGUCUUGAGUUUGGGAGAGGUGAGUGGAACUCCGAGUGUAGAGGUGAAAUUCGUAGAUAUUCGGAAGAACACCAGUGGCGAAGGCGACUCACUGGCCCGUUACUGACGCUGAGGCGCGAAAGCGUGGGGAGCAAACAGGAUUAGAUACCCCGGUAGUCC